rfam:Dipodomys ordii contig_51871, whole genome shotgun sequence.
GGUGGCUCAGUGGUAGAGUGCUUGCCUUGUGUGCAUGAGCAUGAGGCCCUGGGUUCGAUUCCCCAGCACCA